UAAUCUACCUUCGGAUGGGGAAUAACAGUCGGAAACGGCUGCUAAUACCGCAUAAUGCAGCGGCACCUAAUGGUGACAGUUGUUAAAGCGGGGGAUCGAAAGACCUCGCGUCUGAAGAGGAGCCUGCGGCGGAUUAGCUAGUUGGUAAGGUAAUGGCUUACCAAGGCAACGAUCCGUAACCGGCCUGAGAGGGCGGUCGGUCACACUGACACUGACAUACGGGUCAG
rnacentral:rRNA from 1 species